UGUGAUGAUGAUUUUCUUAGGACACCUACAGACAUCAAUUUUUGAUGGUUGAGUAUUAUUGUUAUCCCUGUCUGAGC
rnacentral:snoRNA from 1 species